rnacentral:rRNA from 1 species
UACAGAGGCCCCGAGCGUUAUCCGGAAUCAUUGGGCGUAAAGGGUGUCGAGGCGGUCAUGUUAGUCGUUCGUUAAAUCUGGGGGCUCAACCUCCAGCCUGCGAGCGAAACGGCAUGACUUGAGGGUGGGAGAGGUGCGUGGAACUCACGGUGUAGGGGUGAAAUCCGUUGAUAUCGUGGGGAACACCAAAGGCGAAGGCAGCGCACUGGCCCAUUUCCUGACGCUCACACACGAAAGCCAGGGUAGCGAAUGGG